UACAGAGGGGGCAAGCGUUAUUCGGAAUUACUGGGCGUAAAGCGUGCGUAGGCGGUUAUUUAAGUCAGGUGUGAAAGCCCCGGGCUCAACCUGGGAAUUGCAUUUGAGACUGAAUAGCUAGGGUGCGGAAGAGGGAAGCGGAAUUUCCGGUGUAGCGGUGAAAUGCGUAGAUAUCGGAAGGAACACCAGUGGCGAAAGCGGCUUCCUGGUCCAGCACCGACGUUCAGGCACGAAAGCGUGGGGAGCAAACAGG
rnacentral:rRNA from 1 species